CUGUUGCAGCAGCUGCUGCUGCGGUUGCAGCUGUUGCUGCUGCUGCUGCUGUUGCAGCAGCUGCUGCUGCGGUUGCAGCUGUUGCUGCUGCUGCAGCUGUUGCUACUAUAGCCGUUGCAGUUGCUGCUGCAGCUGCUGCUCUAGCAGCUGCUGCAGCAGUUCCUGCUGCAGCAGCAACAGCAGCUGCUGCUGCUGCAGCAGCAACAGCAGCAGUUUCUGCUGCAGCAGAAGCAGCAGCAGCAGCUGCUGCUGCUG
rnacentral:sRNA from 1 species